UACGGGGGGGAGCAAGCGUUGUUCGGAUUUACUGGGCGUAAAGGGCGCGUAGGCGGCCACCGCAAGUCAAUUGUGAAAUCUCCGGGCUUAACUCGGAAAGGUCAACUGAUACUGCGGGGCUAGAGUGCGGAAGGGGCAACUGGAAUUCUCGGUGUAGCGGUGAAAUGCGUAGAUAUCGAGAGGAACACCUGCGGCGAAGGCGGGUUGCUGGGCUGACACUGACGCUGAAGCGCGAAAGCUAGGGGAGCGAACGGG
rnacentral:rRNA from 1 species